CUAUGCGCCUUGCCAGCCCGCUCGAGAAACUUAAAGGAAGUUGACGGGGGCCCGCACAAGCGGAGGAGCAUGUGGUUUAAUUCGAUGAUACGCGAGGAACCUUACCUGGGCUCGAACGUAAGAUGACUGUAGGUGAAAGCUUACAUCUCUUCGGAGCAUUUUACGAGGUGCUGCAUGGUUGUCGUCAGCUCGUGCCGCGAGGUGUCGGGUUAAGUCCCGUAACGAGCGCAACCCUUGUCCUUAGUUACCAGCACGUUAUGGUGGGCACUCUAAGGAGACUGCCGGUGACAAACCGGAGGAAGGUGGGGAUGACGUCAAGUCAUCAUGGCCCUUACGGCCUGGGCUACACACGUGCUACAAUGGUCGGUACAAAGGGUUGCCAAGCCGCGAGGUGGAGCUAAUCCCAUAAAACCGAUCGUAGUCCGGAUCGCAGUCUGCAACUCGACUGCGUGAAGUCGGAAUCGCUAGUAAUCGUGAAUCAGAAUGUCACGGUGAAUACGUUCCCGGGCCUU
rnacentral:rRNA from 1 species